GGUUUCUCAGGUUCUGGUACUUUUUGGCAAACAGCUAGAAUUUGGAUCCAGUGUUUCCCAGACUGCACAUCAGAGCGUCUAUGCAUGUCGGCGUGUGGUGAGCUGAUUAACAGCAGCUGAAGUCAGACGUCUGAAGCUAAAAGGAGUUUCAUUGAGUCCUCCACUCUUCUCCCUUUACCCAAACCCUCCCUCCCCCGGUACAGGGAGCUACAAGACUGUGAACUUUCUAAAGCUUCGUUUAUUUUAAUCGUAUCAAUCACGUUGUUGUGUUUCCUCCUCCCUCCUCCUGAUUCUUCUUCGAUAACAGUAUUUGCUUUUUGCGUGUCGUCGUUGCUGUUGUUUUUAAGACGUAAGGCCUUCAGUCUUGUCUAUUUUUCUUUUCUUUUUUUAAAAUCUUUGCCAGGUUUGGCGUUCUAAACAGAAUGAGGAUAUAAAAAAAAACUAUUUCAGAUCCUUUUGUUGUUUUCUGAGGCUGUGAAAAAGAUGGAGGAGACACAAAUAGGUUGAGAACACAAGUAGAAACUCUCACGCAGGGAAUAGGGGAGCUUUUUCCGAGUGUGUGUUGUUCAUGUGUGUGUCGGUGAGUGUGUGUGUGUGCAUGUUUUGAGACAAACGCAUAAUCAGAAUCUAAGAUUUUUACGAGUGUGUGUUCCGGGCACUUGUUGUUCUUUUACCUCUUGCCCGUCGAGCCUUAAUAACUGAAGUCAAUCUGUAAGGGCGAAACCAGAACCGCUGAGAGACGACGCUCGGCCCAACUUCAGACUGUGAGUUUUUGCUGUCUUUGUUUGUUUUUGACGCAGCAAAAUGUUUUUUAGCUGGAAACCGAGAAACAAAAGAAGCUUUUAAAGGCUAACUCUGAGGGAAAGGUAGAUUGCGACCCACCUGAGCAUUCAGAGCAAGAAACCUGCUGGAUUUUACAAGUUUUGGGUGACAGAAAAGAGAAAGUUUGGUUGAAGAAAAAAUCUGAUUCUUGCAUCGUGUCAGAAAUGAGAAACUCUGGCAGUUUUUGCAAAACUCUUCAGAUUCAGCAGAAUUUGCAGCCACAGUGUCUGCUUCUGUCCGUCAUGCUCGAGCCCUCUUCCACAGAAAAGCCAUCUGCACUGGUUUGAAAAGCACUGCAGGAAGUCCGGCCCCAUCGUCUGUCAGCGGUUCUGGGAGAAACCAGGCACUGUGCCGGGCUGUCAGGGUCCGUGGUGCCUGGGGUUUAAACCACGGGGAAACUAAGCUCUCUCCUCACUAGCAUUUCUACCAGGGUGGGGGUCAAUUCUCUCAGUGUUUUGCUAGAAUCUAAAUUAAAGCAGUACUAACACAGAACCUUGUAGUCUUUAAACCUCCCUGGCUCAUAUCUGCUUCACGCUUCUAACCGGCACAUUUUCUUUCCAAACUGUUCACCUUUUAGGAGCAGAAUUGACCCCUGCUCUCUAACCCACAGCGUCCAUGUCUUAAGUGGGCUGUUUUUCAGCUCCUGAUCUGGGCUGAACUUGAUUAUGCAACAAAAACGCAGACCUCGCUCCAAGCGCUGUUCUGAGCUCAGCAGUGGAAGCACUAGCUGCUGGUUGGACCGCUGAGAGGCGGCUCACGUUAGGGUUGAACCUGAAAAACACACAAAAAGGGGAUGUUAGGAUGUGUAGAAGCCUCUGAAACUGAAACAAACUCCUAACAGGAUGUUUGUGAUCGGUCCCAUAGGCUUUUACCGCCCUGAUGUGUUCCUUUACAAACAACAGAAAAACGGCAUUUUUGCUUGGGAGACGCUGUUCUGGUUUGGAGUCGUCGUCGUCGUCAUUUCAAAAGCUACUCGGUGCUUGAGUGGAGUCUAGCUUCCCAGCUGUCUCCACUCAGGCAAUCAACCACCUCCACGGCUCCCGGACAGCUGAGGGACAUCACGCUGAUUAAUCACCCCUGCAAUAAGAACCGGCUCAUCCUUCCACUCCCUGCAAGAUUGUUGAACCAAGACAUCACAUUCAGCUGUCCGGGAUCCCCGCCAUCCUCUUUCCCCUCCGGCUCUCCCCAAGACCAUUCAUCACCGGUUUUUCCCUGCCUGGACCUCCCCACUCCUUCCUGGACCCCCAUUCCUGCCUGGACCCCCCGUUUCUGGCCAACCCCCCCACUACACCAGCCGCUCCUGCACCCUGGAUUUUCCCCCCAUCGAGCCACCAUUUCACCUCCAACAAUAAAACACUUUCAUUCCA